rnacentral:rRNA from 1 species
AUUGAACGCUGACGGCAGGCUUAACACAUGCAAGUCGAACGGGCACUUCGGUGUCAGUGGCAGACGGGUGAGUAACACGUGGGAACGUACCUUUUGGUUCGGAACAACACAGGGAAACUUGUGCUAAUACCGGAUAAGCCCUUACGGGGAAAGAUUUAUCGCCGAAAGAUCGGCCCGCGUCUGAUUAGCUAGUUGGUGAGGUAACGGCUCACCAAGGCGACGAUCAGUAGCUGGUCUGAGAGGAUGAUCAGCCACAUUGGGACUGAGACACGGCCCAAACUCCUACGGGAGGCAGCAGUGGGGAAUAUUGGACAAUGGGGGCAACCCUGAUCCAGCCAUGCCGCGUGAGUGAUGAGGGCCCUAGGGUUGUAAAGCUCUUUUGUGCGGGAAGAUAAUGACGGUACCGCAAGAAUAAGCCCCGGCUAACUUCGUGACAGCCGCCGCAGUAA